GCCCUAUGGGACGCAGCAGGGAAUAUUGCUCAAUGGGGGAAACCCUGAAGCAGCAACGCCGCGUGGAGGAUGAAGGUUUUCGGAUUGUAAACUCCUUUUGUUAGAGAAGAUAAUGACGGUAUCUAACGAAUAAGCACCGGCUAACUCCGUGCCAGCAGCCGCGGUAAUACGGAGGGUGCAAGCGUUACUCGGAAUCACUGGGCGUAAAGAGCGCGUAGGCGGGAUAGCAAGUCAGAUGUGAAAUCCUAUGGCUUAACCAUAGAACUGCAUUUGAAACUGUUAUUCUAGAGUAUGGGAGAGGUAGG
rnacentral:rRNA from 1 species